UCGUCACUGUAGUUCCCCCAGAUGGAUAAGAGGAUCCCCCCUGCUCCUUCUCGCUCCCUCCCCAAACCCUAGAUCCAUUAGCUCCUUUCUCCCCGCUCACCUCCUCGAUCUGGACCCCGCGCCUGAAACCACUAUAGCCGCGCCGUCGACGUUCUCGCAGCCAGCGUCGUCCCCGAGCCCCGCGAGGAUGCCCAAGGGACGCGCGCCGUCGUCCUCGACCUCUUCGUAGCAGGAGCCGCCGCGGAUCAUCGCCGACCCAUCCCCUUCGUCCGUCUUCUUCAACUCCAGCCACUGCGCAUCGCCGUUCGCUUGGCUCCACCCGACCCCUUCCGGCCGUUCCGAGCUCACCACCGACACCCCCUCCCGACCCCGAGACUGAUGCUGCCCCUGUGACCGACUAUGUCGACCACGACCCUUCUUCCCUUCCAGCGGAGCUUCCAGGCAAGCCCCCCCCUAUUGAUCAUCCCGAUAUCACCCAUUGUUGGAAAUAUGCCCUAGAGGCAAUAAUAAAAGUAUUAUUAUA